AUGGCGGGGCGCGGCGACGACGUGGCCGUGAUGACCGUGGCGGAGUAUGAGGCAGGGAGGAGGAGGCGGGCGGAGCAGGUCGCGCUGCCGGCCGGCAUGGUGCUUGUGCUGGUGCUGACGGUGGUGACCAUGCUGCUUACCAAGGUGGCUCUCAGCGACAUGCACCCCCUCAUCCUGCUCCUCUACCGCAACCUCGUCGCCGCCGCGUGA
rnacentral:rRNA from 1 species